UUCGAUUAGUUGACCAGUAAAAUCAAUUUGCAUAUAUCCAAUGAAGUUGCAGUAUUUCUUAAAAUUUUGAUUUUAUCUUAGUUUAAGUUUUCGUGAAUAAGGGCCCUGUUUCAUACUAAGCUCAAUUUUUACUCAGUUCUCAAUCUGAUUAAAACACAGAUCCUAUUUCGUUUGGUUUUUUUAUAGUUCAAAAUUUGUUUUAUUUGUCUUUACUACACUAGAAUCUGGAAGAGUUGUUAUAUAACCUGUGGUCUGGAUGUCGUUAGGGAUUAGCCAAUGAAACCAUCUGUUACGGUGACUUCUUGAAGUGUGAUGUACGGAACUGUGGGUAAACCACUAGAAACGUCAACGCUUGAUUAAUCAAUGUCUGAUGUCAUAGGGUCAAAAGCCGUUCGUACAACCUCUGAUGCGACCUUCCCGUACAACCGGUCAGAUCUUCAUGUUAAGUAAGGCCAUCAAAAGUAUAACGAAAAGGAAACAAAAUAUAGAUCUGUAUUUUAAUCAGAUGGAAUGACAUCUCAUGGACACAUACCUGGAAAUAUACCUGACACAUACCUGACACAUACCUGGAAAUAAGUGUUUACCUGUACCUGACAAAAUGGCAAGCACUAUUGAGCUAAUGUCUGAGUUAAAAAACACAGAAAAAUACAAAUCAGUGCUGGACAAAACGGUCUGGUCUAAAUAUUAAGGUCACCUGCAGACUUUGUCAUCGUCAUGAGAUGUAAAUAGGGUUAGGGCACAUGAUUGUUGCCGAGAUUGUUGGUUAGGAUAAGGGUUUGGGCAAGGGUUAGGGUUAGCGUUAGUUCUGUUUACAUGACCUUGACAAAAAACGAUCCUAUUGUACCAGAAUGUAGGCCUGUCAAUGUCUGUCACAGGUGCCUUAUUUCCAGGCUAGCAUGGACAGGUAAAUUGAGAUAUCAUAUACCAGAAUAGAAAGUCUGCAUUACAAAUUUGAGGAAAAAAUUGAACUGAGUAAGAAAUACGUUUCUUUCUAGGUGAACUUUGUUACCUAUUUACGUCAAUCUUAGAAAUAAAAGAAAUUAAUAACAUUCCAAUGAACAUAAUAAUUAUAAUAAUGAAAUAUUGUUGUAUAAUAUCUUUAUUGCUCUUUUUGAUUAAUUAAUCAGGUAGUUGGUUUGAUCAUUUAUGUUAAUUAAUUAGUUGAUCAAUCGGCUAAUUAAUAAACCAAUUAGUUGAUUAAUUAGUUAACUUAUUAGUUGACCAAAUUGUUAAUUGAUUAGUUGAUCAAUUAAUUAAUUGAUUAGUCAGUCGAUUAGUCCGUUGAUUAGUUGAUUAAAUACAUUAUUAAUUAGUUGAUCAAAUUAUUAAUUAAGGAAUCAAUUAGUCAAUUCAUUAGUUGAAUGAUUCGUUAAUAAAUUAGUUAAUUACCCAUGUUUACAUUUUAUUACAUCUAGGGUUUCACAUCAAUCAAUCUGUUUACUUGUUAUCCUUGAUUAAAUUAGCCUGGGAUCUCCUGAAAACGUUACAUUGUUACCCUGGAUUUGAUUUGAUUGGGAUUUCCUGAAAAACCUAUCUUGUCAGAGAACUUAAUAAAGUGCUAAUAAGGGAUGAACAAAUUACGUUAAAUUAUACUUCUAGAACAUCUGAUACCACUGCUUAUUUUGUUACAUUUGAUACAGUUUUAUCAAGGACCUAGGUCUAGUAUUCUUCAGUUUUCAGGAAAUGUAGGUUUUCUUAUUUAAGAUGUGGUUCUGUUACGGAGAUCUUCGAACUGUAAAAGAGGACCUAUUUCAAACUUUUAUUCAAGGACAGUGUGAGUAAAUAAAUUGACUGAGGUGUCUCCCAAGAUAAAAUUUAUUAUUAAACGGAUUUAAAUUAGUACUGUCUAUAUUGUCAUGUGAUCGUCAUGUGAUAUUGUUAUUAUACUAGUUGGCUUAGUGUAUAUUAUUUGUCAACUCGAUUCUCGCCUAAAAUGAUAUACAUGUAGAUGUUAUUUAGUCUAUGUUUAUACAUAUAUAUAUCUAUAUACUCCCUAUACAAGGUAAUUUACCAGAUUCUUUAGAUCAUAAGGUCUGUCAUUUAGUCUGAGUUGGGUGGCAGAGUGGUUACCGUGUCAUUGAGUCGAGUGACAAGGAGUAGGGUCGCCUGUCCAACCUCAUGGGUUUUCUCUGGAUCCUCUGUUUUCCUCCCACUGCUAACACUGUAACCUGGGUAUCAUUUAAUCUUGUGUAUUUAGCACUAAUUUCUCUUUCACGUUCAUUCGAUAUCCAAUCUUUGUUUAAAAUCUCGUAAAACUUGUUUAAAAUCAUGUAAUUUGUACUUGUGUCCAGUUUAAAUUCUGAUAACAAGUGUCCAGUUUACAAGCGUUCAAUAUCUCCAAAUGGACACACAUUAUCAAAAUUAAUCAGUCAGCUUUAAACUGGACACAAGUACAAAUUGGAUGAUUUGGGGUGAUUUUAAAUGAUUUUUACGAAUUUUUAAACAAAGAUUUGAUAUUAAACGAAUGUGAAAGAAAUUAGUGCUAUAUACAAAAGAUUUAAAUGAUACCCGGGUUAUAGUGUAAAGACCCCUAUGCGCAAUCAAAUUAAUGAAAUAAAAUUGGACCAUAUGUUAGUCCCAAAAUGACUAGUUUGUGUCAAGUUUACGUUGAACCCCAUUUCUCUCUCUCUCUCUCUCUCUCUCUCUCUCUUUGAAAACAAUUUCAUUUUUAAUUCCUUGGGAAUCUUUGGCAUCUUGGUCAUUUGCCUUGUGGUCAGCUGUGAGAAAUGACCUAGUUUGUGUCGAGUGGAGGUUAAACCCCAUUUCUAACUCUCUCUCUCCCUCUAAUUGUACCUGGAGGGUAUAUUACUGAUCCCUACUGUUGUAUAUGAAAUCUCUGUCAUUUAGUCAGUGGCAUAUGGUUUCUUUCUUUCAUUCCAAAGCUUGGGUGUGACAAGGCAUAGAGUCACCUGCCCAACUAUGUAGGUUUUCUGCGAGCCCUUCCCAGUUUCCUCACAAUGCUUAUGACCCUAUGCGCAAGCAAACUAUUGAAAUAAAAUUGUACCAUAUGUUAGUAUGUUAGUCCUGGAAUGACCUAGUUUGUGUCAAGUGGACAUUAAACCCUGUUUCUUUGUCAUUAUACUGUCUUGUUAGGUUCAAACAACAAUAGGAGCCACGGUGGCUAGGUGGUUGAGUGGCUAGGUGGUUGAGACGCUGGCUCGCUAGCCUGGAGGUCGGGUGUUUGAUCCCUGCAUUGGCCGAGAAAGUUCAUCUGGAUUUUCCGACGUGGUUUCCCCUUGUCAGUGGUGCAGAACGGAGGGCCUGGCAAGGACAGCUGUCUAGUCCUUCGGAUGAGAUGAAAAACCGAGGUCCAGUGUAUACAUUGGAAUGCACGUAAAAGAUCCCUUGGUAGUUGGAAUUUGAUAUAAGAGUAGGCGAUAGUGCUGCUGCCCGGGCAAAAUUUCCCUCAUAGCACACUGUAUGGCGUAUGCCCGUAUUCAUUAGCCCAGUAUAGGAGCAGAACAGUAGGACGUUAAACCCCAUUUCAUUUUCAUUUCAAACAACAAUAACCUCCUUGGCUUUCUCUUCAUCAGUAAAACAAACUAAGUUCAUUUUAACAUCUUUCGUUUGACUCUGGAUGUCACUUGAUUUUUUAUUUUUUUGAACAAUAUUCUAAUCAGAAAUUCACAAAGGGAUUAAGGAAAAGGCAUAGCCUAUAUUACCUCUCUCCUAGACCUCAUUGUACUGCCCAGCUCCCAAUACAGAACAUAGCAUGAUGAUCUUACUUCCCUUAAGAGAUUCUUUAUCAUAGAAUAACAUCCUGUGAACCUUUGACAGUUGGAAUUCGUCAAGACCCACUAAAUGAUUAAGGACAGCUGUCUAGUCAUUCAGAUGGGAUGAAAAACCAAGGUCAUGUGUACACAUUGGCAUGCACGUAAAAGAUCCCCUGGCAGUUUCAAAUCGAUAUAAGAGUAGUCUGUAGGGCCGCUAUCUAGGCAAAAUUUCCCACAUUGUAUGCCAUAUUCCCCGUCUUCAUUAGCCCAGUUCGGAGCAGGAGCAGAACAGUAGGACGUUAAACCCCAUUUCAUUUCAUUCCAUUUUACAUUUAAUGAUUGUUAUCUGAUUUUCUUCCAGGACUUAAUUUAGUAAUAGUAGAAUGAAUGUAAUUUAUUUCUCGACAGUUAAUUGGCUUGUGUAGAGAGUAUAUAGUCAUUAGCAUUUAUUAUAUUUUAAAUUAUUAUUCAGUAUCAUUACUAAUUCUUGUUGAGCAUCUGAAUCACUGAAAUUCUUCUCUUGUUAUUUUUUAAUUAAUUAUUUUUUUAGGUGAACAAUUUCUAAAAUUUUAAGAACCAACCAAACAAAAAAUGAUUUAUUUUUUUCUCUUGUGUUGGAUUUUUUUUUAAAAUAAAAAAACAUCCAAAAAAAUUAAAAACAAAACAAAAACUGAUUUAUUUCUUCUCUUUGUUUUUUAAGAAUAAAAACCAAAUUGUAAAGAUCAAAAGAAACAGAAAGAAAUUUGAUACAACUUUUGAGAAGGCUAUAUUCUAAGGUAUAAGGGAGGGAACUCUUACUGGAUUAUUAUGUCUGUUAGCCUUAUUUUAAAUGAAUUUGACUAUUGUUAUGUAUUUAGAUGCUCAUCAAGAAGUGACAAUAAUUUCAAUGCUCUGUAAAAUGUGAUUUUUGUAUAAAACAAGCGAUUAUAAUAUUGGUGCACAUCAAAAUGAAAGAUUACGUCAUGCAUCAACAAGUUCGAAAACGGGAUAUAUUGCAUGCUCUUCUUCAACCAUUGUAUGUAUUGUACUGUAAAUAGCCAAAUAUUCUUGCAUAUUAAUUAUCUCUCUUCUUGUGUAAACAUGUAUUGCAAUGGUGGGCCACAAUUAGUCUUGUUAUAAUCAUCCUACAAUCUUCCAGAGCGAAAGGACUGGAUUAUCGAGUCAAGUUGUGUAUAAAACAAUCUGGUUAAAACACAGAUCAUGUUUCGUUUCUUAUAUUUCAAAAUUUUGUUUUAUUUGUCUGUACUACACUAGAAUCUGGAAGAGUUGUUAUAUAACCUGCGUUCUUACGGCGACUUCUUGGCGUGCGAUGCAUGCAACUGUGGGUAAAUCACUAGAAACGUCAACGAUGAUUGAUUAAUCAAUGUCUGACGUCAUAGGGUCAAAAGCCGCUCAUAUGACCCCCUGACGCGACCUCCCAAUACAACUGGUCAGAUCUUAAUGUGGUGUAGGCCAUCGAUAGUAUAAAAACAAACGAAACAAAAUAUAGAUUUGUAUUUUAAUCAGAUUGUGCAUAAAAUGAGGAAGGUCACUUUUAAUGUUAUUCUCACUUUUAAUAAUAAAUAAAGAAAUGAAUAGAAUAAUAGGUCUUCAACAACAUCCAUCUCUUUUAGUUUCAUUACAUUCAAUCUUAGAGUUGUUUGCCUCAAAGCAGGAUCAUUUCAAUUAUGUUUUAUUUUAUAUAAUUUUGUUAUUAAUUAAGAAUUCAAUAUUUAUUAUGCAUUCAAAUAAAUCUAAUGAAAAAAAAUAUUGAUUUUAUUUUUGGGGUGCAUUUGCAUAGAGUUUUAUUCAUAUCAACUUAUUUAUUCGAGGUGGGUAAAUGAUAAGAGUUUAAAAACAGCUUAACAUCAUAAAACUUGGUGUCAGUAACUUCAUAAUUCAUUCUUUAUAAUUGCAAUGAAUCAUCUUUUUGGGUCACAAUUUUAAUAAUUAAAAAAAAGAAAACUCUGGGGAUUAUGAAUAAAAUAUUCACAUGGAGAAUAUAAAGCUCAUAAUUAAAAAGCUAGUCAAAGUUAUAUAUUGUAAUAUAUGAUUAUGUUGCUUGGACAGUAUUAUGUCUUGUUUUAUAGGCGUGUCAUUAGGCCUACACAGUUGUCUCCCCUCUAAUUUCUGAUUUUGUGGGCUCCUUUUCUAUAUUAUUAUUAUUAUUAUCUGUACCUUGAAGUCGUACAUUAUAAGAAGGUAUUGAGAACGAAGUAACUGUAUUUAUUAAUGUUCAAAGUGCAAUGUAUAAAUUGUCAUUUUUAUACAAUAAAUAUAUAUUAGAA